rnacentral:misc_RNA from 1 species
UUGUAGCUUGGGGAAAGUUAUGGGAAAAGAAAUGUGGUUUACGGCACCGAGCAUGCUCUUGCAGAAAUGGAAAUUUGCACGCAAAUAACACCAUGAUAGCAAGCAGCCAAGCAGCACUACUUUGCAAGCCAAGUGGCAUAGGCACAUAGCUAUCAGCUAUGGACCAACUUGUAUGGGGCUUUCACUGUUACUUCUUUAUGGAGCAACAAGGUCUCCUAUACAAGGGACAG